rnacentral:rRNA from 1 species
CAGCCGCCGCGGUAAUACGUAGGUGGCAAGCGUUAUCCGGAAUUAUUGGGCGUAAAGCGCGCGUAGGCGGUUUUUUAAGUCUGAUGUGAAAGCCCACGGCUCAACCGUGGAGGGUCAUUGGAAACUGGAAAACUUGAGUGCAGAAGAGGAAAGUGGAAUUCCAUGUGUAGCGGUGAAAUGCGUAGAGAUUAGGAGGAACACCAGUGGCGAAGGCGGCUUUUUGGCCUGUAACUGACACUGAGGCGCGAAAGCGUGGGGAGCAAACAGGAUUAGAUACCCCAGUAGUCCCUGUCUCUUAUAC